AUUGAACGCUGGCGGCAGGCCUAACACAUGCAAGUCGCACGCUUGGCGGACGGGUGAGUAAUGUCUGGGACACUGCCCGAUGGAGGGGGAUAACUACUGGAAACGGUAGAUAAUCCCGCAUACCAUCGGAUGUUCCCAGAGGGGAUUAGCUAGUAGGUGGGGUAUCGGCUCACCUAGGCGACGAUCCCUAGCUGGUCUGAGAGGAUGACCGGCCCCCCCGGAACUGAUACACAGCCCAGCCUCCUACGGUAGGCAGCAGGGGGGAAUAUUGUACAAGGGGCGCAAGCAUGAGGCAGCCAUGCCGCGUGUAAGAAGGAGUCCUUCGGGUUGUAAAGUACUUUUAGCGAGGGGGCGUUACUCGCAGAAGAAGCACCGGCUAACUCCGUGCCAGCCGCCGCGGUAAUUC
rnacentral:rRNA from 1 species